UACAGAGGUCUCAAGCGUUGUUCGGAUUCAUUGGGCGUAAAGGGUGCGUAGGUGGCGGGGUUAGUCAGGUGUGAAAUCUCGGGGCUCAACCCCGAAACUGCACUUGAUACUGCCUUGCUAGAGUACUGGAGAGGAGAUUGGAAUUUACGGUGUAGCGGUGAAAUGCGUAGAUAUCGUAAGGAAGACCAGUGGCGAAGGCGGGUCUCUGGACAGUUCCUGACGCUGAGGCACGAAGGCCAGGGGAGCAAACGGG
rnacentral:rRNA from 1 species